rnacentral:rRNA from 1 species
AAGCUCGUAGUUGAAUUUCGGAAUAAGCAGGUCGGUCGUGCCACAGGUAUGUACUGGUCUUGCUGAUUCCUCCCUCUUGACGAGCCGUAAUGCCAUUAAUUUGGUGUUGCGGGGAAUCAGGACUGUUACUUUGAAAAAAUUAGAGUGUUUAAAGCAGGCUCACGCUUGAAUACAUUAGCAUGGAAUAAUGAAAUAGGACGUUCGAUCCUAUUUUGUUGGUUUCUAGGAUUGACGUAAUGAUUAAUAGGGAUAGUUGGG